GGACCCGCACAACUGGUGGAGCGUGUGGUUUAAUUUGAGACGAAGCAAAAAACCUUACCAAGGUUUGACAUGUUACCGUUUUAUACCUAUGGAAACACUGGUAGAUCCGCAAGGAUGGUAACACAGGUGCUGCAUGGCUGUCGUCAGCUCGUGUCGUGAGAUGUUCCCUUAAGUGGGGAAACGAGCGCAACCCCCGUGAAAUGUUACAUAUUCAUUUCAGACGGUCCCGAUCAUAUCGGGAAGGAAGGAGGGGAAGACGUCAAGUCAGCAUGGUCCUUACACCUUGGGAUACACACACCCUACAAUGGCGAAGAACAAUGGGCUGCAAGCUAGUAAUAGCAAGCUAAUCUCAGAAAUUUCGCCUCAGUUCAGAUUGGGGGCUGCAACUCGCCCCCAUGAAGUCGGAAUCAGUAGUAAUCGCGGAUCAGAAGGCCGCGGUGAAUACGUUCUCGGGUCUU
rnacentral:rRNA from 1 species